AACCAACAGGGAUUGCCUCAGUAACGGCGAGUGAAGCGGCAAAAGCUCAAAUUUGAAAUCCGGUACCUUUGGUGCCCGAGUUGUAAUUUGAAGAUGGCAACUUUGGGGGCGGCCUUUAUCUAUGUUCCUUGGAACAGGACGUCACAGAGGGUGAGAAUCCCGUCUGAUGAGGUGACCCGCUCCUUUGUAAAGUGCUUUCGACGAGUCGAGUUGUUUGGGAAUGCAGCUCUAAGUGGGUGGUAAAUUCCAUCUAAAGCUAAAUAUUGGCGAGAGACCGAUAGCGAACAAGUACAGUGAUGGAAAGAUGAAAAGAACUUUGAAAAGAGAGUGAAAAAGUACGUGAAAUUGUUGAAAGGGAAGGGUAUUAGAUCAGACUUGGCGGUGUUCGAUUAUCUUCCCCUUGUGGGUUGUGCACUCGAGCGCUGCUGGGCCAGCAUCGAUUUGUGCGGCGGGAUAAGAGUUCUGGGAACGUGGCAUCCUCUUCGGGGGGUGUGUUAUAGCCCGGGGCCCAUACCGCCUGUGUAGAUCGAGGACUGCGUCUUUAUGACUAGGAUGCUGGCGUAAUGAUCUAAUAUCGC
rnacentral:rRNA from 1 species